UGGCCUAACGGCUGAACCAGCAAUUUGGGGGAAUGUAUAGCGAAAGCUAGUUGUAUUAACUAAAAGUUAAUGCAAGAUCGACUACGUCGAUUAAAGUUCUAGGUAAAAUAAUGAUGAUGACAAUUUUUUACCUAUAUGUCUUGACCAAGUCUCGUGCCAGCAGUCGCGGUAAUACGUGGAAGACUAGUGUUAUUCAUCUUUAAUAGGUUUAAAGGGUACCUAGACGGUAUUUCUAGCCCAAAAUAGGGUACGGAUUUACUAGAGUUUUAUGUGAGGAGGGGAGUACUCAUGGAGUAGAGAUGAAAUUUUGUGAUACUAUGAGGAAACUGGUGAUGGCGAAAGCAACCUUCUAUGUAUAAACUGACGU
rnacentral:rRNA from 1 species